rnacentral:lncRNA from 12 species
AUGACCCAUAGAAUACUCCCUAAAAGUGACGCUUACAGAAUGUUGUCAAGGACAGAGCUAUGGCAGCUGCUAAUCCAUGCUCCUGCCCACACUUGGACUAAGAGUUGGACAAAUGUGGUCAAGAACUGCUGUCAGCCCUAUACUCCCCCAUGGAGAAUAUGCAAGAGAAUGAAAAAGCCAAAGGCCAAAAAGAAAGAGUGGAAGAGAACCAGAUCAGCAAAACUGGGGAUAGUCACCACUUCUUCUACCCUUGCCACGGUCUCUCCAGAAGACUGGGAGCCGGUCACACAGACCAAGGGUGAGGUCCUCAUAAUUGACCUUUCAGGUAAGUUUCAUAGCUUCAGAAACCUUAGUUUCCUUAUCUAAAGAUGGCAUUACCUGCUUUCAGAGGGUUGUUGUGGAGAGCAAAUAAGACAAUGCUUGUAAAAUACUUAGCCUAGUCGCAGGCACAAAGUGUGCAUUGAAUGCUAGUUAUCAUUGCUAUAUCAUCAUCGUCAUCAUUACCAUCAUUUUCAUUAUGAUACUUUCAAGGUGAGUGAGUGUAAUAUGACUCCAGGGACACAUUUGUGAACAAAGCUUAUCUUUCUACCUGUUUGCUGAUACUAGUCGUUUCUCUAACAAACAUCUCCCACUUAAAAGUAAAAUUAAAAUCCAGAUAUAUUUAAACUGUACAGUUAUAUGUCCAAAGCGAAUACUACUUUAUAGAAUUUAGAAGAUAUUUUUAGAAUAUUUUUAUUUUAAAAAAAGAACAAAAGGAAGGAGGAAAGGAAGGAAAGGGAGGAGGGAGGAAGGG